AGUGAACGCUGGCGGUAGGCCUAACACAUGCAAGUCGAACGGCAGCACAGUAAGAGCUUGCUCUUACGGGUGGCGAGUGGCGGACGGGUGAGGAAUACAUCGGAAUCUACUUUUUCGUGGGGGAUAACGUAGGGAAACUUACGCUAAUACCGCAUACGACCUACGGGUGAAAGCAGGGGAUCUUCGGACCUUGCGCGAUUGAUUGAGCCGAUGUCGGAUUAGCUAGUUGGCGGGGUAAAGGCCCACCAAGGCGACGAUCCGUAGCUGGUCUGAGAGGAUGAUCAGCCACACUGGAACUGAGACACGGUCCAGACUCCUACGGGAGGCAGCAGUGGGGAAUAUUGGACAAUGGGCGCAAGCCUGAUCCAGCCAUACCGCGUGGGUGAAGAAGGCCUUCGGGUUGUAAAACCCUUUUGUUGGGAAAGAAAAGCAGCAGGUUAAUACCCCGCUGUUCUGACGGUACCCAAAGAAUAAGCACCGGCUAACUUCGUG
rnacentral:rRNA from 1 species